GAUUAACGCUGGCGGCGUGCCUAACACAUGCAAGUCGAACGAGGUAGCAAUACCUAGUGGCAGACGGGUGAGUAACGCGUGGUCAACCUACCGUUGAGUGGGGGAUAACUAGCCGAAAGGUUAGCUAAUACCGCAUACGUCUCCGAGGGGCAUCCCUUGGCGAUAAAAGGAGCAAUCCGCUCGAUGACGGGACCGCGUCCCAUUAGCUAGAUGGUGGGGUAACGGCCUACCAUGGCUCCGAUGGGUAGCUGGUUUGAGAGAGCGACCAGCCACACUGGGACUGAGAAACGGCCCAGACUCCUACGGGAGGCAGCAGUGAGGAAUUUUCCGCAAUGGGCGCAAGCCUGACGGAGCGACGCCGCGUGUGGGAAGAAGGCCUUAGGGUCGUAAACCACUGUCGAAGGGGACGAUAAUGACGGUACCCUUGGAGGAAGCCCCCGGCUAACCUACGUGCCAGCCGCCGCAGUAAU
rnacentral:rRNA from 1 species